AACGAACGCUGGCGGCAUGCCUAACACAUGCAAGUCGAACGAACUCUUCGGAGUUAGUGGCGCACGGGUGCGUAACGCGUGGGAACCUGCCCUUAGGUUCGGAAUAACUUCCCGAAAGGGAUGCUAAUACCGGAUAAUGUCUUCGGACCAAAGAUUUAUCGCCUUUGGAUGGGCCCGCGUAGGAUUAGCUUGUUGGUGGGGUAAUGGCCUACCAGGGCGACGAUCCUUAGCUGGUCUGAGAGGAUGAUCAGCCACACUGGGACUGAGACACGGCCCAGACUCCUACGGGAGGCAGCAGUGGGGAAUAUUGGACAAUGGGCGAAAGCCUGAUCCAGCAAUGCCGCGUGAGUGAUGAAGGCCUUAGGGUUGUAAAGCUCUUUUACCAGGGAUGAUAAUGACAGUACCUGGAGAAUAAGCUCCGGCUAACUCCGUGCCAGCAGCCGCGGUAAUACGGAGGGAGCUAGCGUUGUUCGGAAUUACUGGGCGUAAAGCGCACGUAGGCGGCGAUUCAAGUCAGAGGUGAAAGCCCGGGGCUCAACCCCGGAACUGCCUUUGAAACUAGAUUGCUAGAAUCCUGGAGAGGUUAGUGGAAUUCCGAGUGUAGAGGUGAAAUUCGUAGAUAUUCGGAAGAACACCAGUGGCGAAGGCGACUAACUGGACAGGUAUUGACGCUGAGGUGCGAAAGCGUGGGGAGCAAACAGG
rnacentral:rRNA from 1 species